UUUUAUAUAAAUUUUUAUUAUAACUUUCAUUUAAAUUAUUUAAAUUGUUAUUUUACGUAAAUU
rnacentral:tRNA from 1 species